rnacentral:rRNA from 1 species
AUUGAACGCUGGCGGUAUGCUUAAGACAUGCAAGUCGAACGGUAACAGGUUAAGCUGACGAGUGGCGGACGAGUGAGUAACGCGUGGGAAUCUACCUUGUAGUGGGGGAUAAGCCAGGGAAACUUGGACUAAUACCGCAUACGCCCUAAGGGGAAAGGCGCAAGUCGCUAUAAGAUGAGCCCGCGUCUGAUUAGGUAGUUGGUGGGGUAAAGGCCUACCAAGCCGACGAUCAGUAGCUGGUCUGAGAGGAUGAUCAGCCACGUCGGGACUGAGACACGGCCCGGACUCCUACGGGAGGCAGCAGUCGGGAAUAUUGGACAAUGGGGGAAACCCGUGAUCCAGCAAUACCGCGUGUGUGAAGAAGGCCUGCGGGUUGUAAAGCACUUUCAGUUGGGAAGAUAAUGACGUUACCAACAGAAGAAGCACCGG